CCGAGGAUAGGAAGAAAUAGAGCCAUCCCAUUAAUUUCUGCAUAACUGACUGGGGGGAAAGGUGAUCUUCCUCCAGCAGUGCCCUCCUAUCAGCUUGCCUUGGAAGUGAUUCAGGCAGGGUAAUCCUCUUCACAGCAGAGCCUUCGUACCAGGCAGCUGGGACUCCAGACUCAUGAGCAGCUAACGCUACCACAUGCUGAUCCCUGCUGUUGGACCACAUUUGGAAGGGCAGUAACAGCUUCUGGAGGGAGCCCCCAGCAACACUUCAUGGCCAGACUGAUGCCUAGUGAUGAUGAGGUGGGGAAAGGCAUCAACAAAGGCACUCAGAGAACCACACCCCCAUGGUGCUCAGCUGAAAAGCAUCAAGGGUAUGACAGCCCAGAUCAGGCUGGGACUUGUGAGAGCUGGGUUCAGUUCCCUGAUCCACCACAGAGCUCCUGGUUACAAUGUACAAUGGGAAUAAACUGGGCUGUUUAACAGUC